UGACAUUUACCGUGCCAGGUUAGGUGCCCAGU
rnacentral:piRNA from 1 species